UCUAAAGCAGGAACCGGAAAACAGCAUUUUUUUCCCAAAAAAAAAAAAGGAUUAUCAACUAUCAAAUCAAAGGGUAGUUGUAGCCUCAACUGGCAACUCUCUCUCUCUCCUACACGCGCACACACAUGGAAGGCAGUCACUGUCAGGUCGAGCUGACACAUUUUUUGUAGAACAACGACCACUCAACACUCCUCUCUCAGUAGUCACUAUUUUUAGAGAGGUUUACUGUUACUCUGCCUGCGCCCAACCUUUACUCGGCGACAGGCGGACGUUGUUGCAAUGACGUGGUGGAGUACUUGUAAUUUGCUCGACUUCCUCAUUGUCUUCCUUCUAUCUCUUCUUCCUCUCUCCCUUGCUUCUGUUCCUUCUCUCUCCCAGUCUCUCCUCCACUCCGACUUGGAUGCCUCGGUCGACUUCAACUCCACUGAUUCUAAUGCCACUCGUCCCAGAUCCAGGGAGGAUAGUUUCGCUGGUAUGAUCGAUCGCGCCUUGGAGAAGGAAUUCCCUGAUAAUGAACAGUCCGGAGAAACUGAUGAUGCCGGCAGCUUCAAUAACAGUGUUAUCGAACAACAGGCAGUUCUGGAAACUGUUGCUAGAAUCAAGCCCAAGAAAAAUGAGACCAAGGAAGAGAAGUCAUUUCAACUUCAUGAUGUUUUUAAUUUGGAUAACGAGAAUCAAGCAGAAGAUAUGCCAACAUUAAUAGAUAGAAGGGACAAUGUGUUUAUUAUUUCUAAUCCCAAAUCAAAAUAUCCUGUGCUACGGUUGGACUUAAGAUUGAUAUCAGAUCUUGUAGUUGUCAUUGUAUCUGCAGCCAUUGGUGGCAUUGCUUUUGCGUGUGCUGGACAACCAGUUAUUACUGGAUAUUUGCUAGCAGGAUCUGUUAUUGGACCAGGCGGGUUAAGUUUGGUCAGCGAAUUGGUUCAGGUUGAAACGGUAGCUCAGUUUGGGGUGAUCUUCCUUCUUUUUGCAUUGGGACUUGAGUUUUCUGUAACAAAGCUUCGAGUUGUCCAAGCUGUUGCUGUUCUAGGAGGCCUGCUCCAAAUUUUCCUAUUUAUGUGCUUGUGUGGUAUAACUGCCUCGUUAUGUGGUGGUAAACCUUCAGAGGGGAUGUUUGUUGGUGCAUUUUUAUCAAUGUCUUCAACAGCAGUGGUUUUGAAGUUUUUGAUGGAAAGAAAUAGUAUCAAUGCCCUUCAUGGUCAAGUCACAAUAGGCACCCUUAUCCUGCAGGACUGUGCUGUGGGCAUGCUAUUUGCAUUGCUUCCGAUUUUGGGUGGUACUUCUGGGAUUCUUCAAGGAGUGAUAUCCAUGACUAAGUCGUUGAUUCUCUUGAUUACAUUUUUGGCAAUCUUGUCGAUAUUGUCUCGCAGUUGUGUACCUUGGUUUCUUAAGCUGAUGAUAAGCGUAUCAUCACAGACCAAUGAACUCUAUCAACUGGCAUCAGUUGCAUUUUGUUUACUUGUGGCUUCGUGUAGCGACAAACUUGGUCUAAGCCUUGAACUGGGUUCUUUUGCUGCUGGUGUGAUGAUAUCCACAACUGAUCUUGCUCAACAUACACUUGAACAAGUUGAACCAAUUCGCAACUUCUUCGCUGCGCUUUUUCUUUCCAGCAUUGGGAUGCUGAUUGAUGUCCAUUUCCUUUGGAACCAUGUGGAUAUUUUACUGGCAGCUGUUAUUUUGGUGAUCAUAAUAAAAACAUUUGUGGUCAUGAUAGUUGUCAAGGGAUUUGGCUAUAACAACAAGACCUCACUUCUAGUGGGCAUGUCUCUGGCUCAGAUUGGGGAAUUCUCUUUUGUUCUUCUUAGUCGUGCUUCUAAUCUUCAUAUGGUGGAGGGUAAGUUGUAUCUGCUGCUUCUUGGCACAACGGCUCUUAGUCUGGUAUGUAGCCCAAAACUGAAUCAUGCCUUCACUGUUACAAUGUUAUCUGUAAGCCUGAUCAUGGUGAUAAAGACUUUCAGGAUGCAUUCAUCCACGCUGCUAUGUGAAUGCUCCCAUGUGUGUGUGUGUGGUGCAACAAAAGGGAAAGUAGGUCUUGUUGGCAACCCCUUUUUAUGCUUUUAUUGCCGAGGGUCUUCUGGAUGUAACAUAAUUUUGAAUAGGAAACCCUUGAAGUUACUGUUCAAUCAUUGAGUAUCUUGAAACUUUUUCUCUGAAUACCCUGCCACUAGGUCAAUCAGAUAGGCUGGAAGCAGUGGCAGUCUCCACACCCUCACCUAUAAAUGUGUUUAGAGAUGGUGUAAAUAGGUACAUGAGCACACUUAAAUGUGUGCAGGGACUCAUAAUAUUGCAGGUAUGAACACAAAAAAUGCAUCUUGAACAUGGUUUUGGACUAGAUUACUUCUAAUAUUCAUUGGAAGUCUCUCAAAAUUAGAAAUUUUCAUAGGAGAGCAUAGCUGAUCUGCCAUAAGAAAAGGGGUUAGUACAAUCAAUAUUCAGUUCCUUGUUUGUAUUUGUGACUCGUCUAUUCCAGAGCUAGCUUGUUUGUGAUUCAAGAUGUGUAUCGCUUACCAAACCAUUAUGCAGAUGACUACCCCAUUACUUUUCAAGUUAAUUCCUGCUGUUUUACAUCUCGGAGUGCUAUUACGUUGGUUCUCUGAUAGUAGCCAAAGCGAGAUUGGGUUUAAAGGAGAAGGCCUUCGUGUAGAUAAUGUUAAACGUAUUACAUUGAUGGA